GACGAACCGUGCGAACGUUGUUCGGAAUCACUGGGCAUAAAGCGCGCGUAGGCGGGUUUCCAAGUCGGUUGUGAAAUCCCUCAGCUCAACUGAGGAACCGCAUCCGAUACUGUUUGCCUUGAGGACGAGAGGGGAGAGUGGAAUUUCGUGUGUAGGGGUGAAAUCCGUAGAUCUACGAAGGAACGCCAAAAGCGAAGGCAGCUCUCUGGGUCCCUACCGACGCUGGGGGUGCGAAAAGCAUGGGGGAGCGAACAGG
rnacentral:rRNA from 1 species